rnacentral:rRNA from 1 species
AGUGAACGCUGGCGGUAGGCCUAACACAUGCAAGUCGAAUGGCAGCACAGUAAGAGCUUGCUCUUACGGGUGGCGAGUGGCGGACGGGUGAGGAAUACAUCGGAAUCUACUUUUUCGUGGGGGAUAACGUAGGGAAACUUACGCUAAUACCGCAUACGACCUACGGGUGAAAGCAGGGGAUCUUCGGACCUUGCGCGAUUGAAUGAGCCGAUGUCGGAUUAGCUAGUUGGCGGGGUAAAGGCCCACCAAGGCGACGAUCCGUAGCUGGUCUGAGAGGAUGAUCAGCCACACUGGAACUGAGACACGGUCCAGACUCCUGCGGGAGGCAGCAGUGGGGAAUAGUGGACAAUGGGCGCAAGCCUGAUCCAGCCAUACCGCGUGGGUGAAGAAGGCCUUCGGGUUGUAAAGCCCUUUUGUUGGGAAAGAAAAGCAGCAGGUUAAUACCCCGCUGUUCUGACGGUACCCAAAGAAUAAGCACCGGCUAACUUCGUG